AUUGACAAUCAUGAAACAUACAGUGUAAUGGUAUAUGUUGGUAGUAGAUGAAAUCAGUAUUCAGUGUGAAACAAAAUUUGAUUACCAUUAAAUACGCGCAGCUAGAACAAUUUGUGAAAAGCAGCAGAUAUUCCUUUCUUUUUUUUAAAAAAAAUUUAUGCUAUAUAUUUUUGUGAAAUUUCUUUCUUUAUCCUUUUCUUUCUAUUGUUUACGCACAUAAACAUGGUUAGAAAACAUACAGAUGCAAGCAAUGGAACAAGAACAUUUAUUAUAUUUAUUUUAAAAAAAAAAAAACAGCAUAUUUUUCUACUGAUCAUCUUAUUGUACCACGCACAUUUAGCUUUCAAGUAUUUUAUAACACUACGAGUUAAACGUACAUCAAGAAUAGGAAACUAAGAGAUAACCUUUUGCAGUUUUUGAAUAAGGGAAAGUUAGAAAGAAUACACAUAUUUUUCGUAAAAUGUAAACCCUGUUCGUGAAAGUUUACUUUUCGUUGAAUUUAGAAUAAUUGUUUAUAAUUAAUGUUGACUUAUUAGCUUACUAGAAUGCUUGAAUUCGGGUUUAUAAGAGUUCAGUCGUAAAUUUUAUCACUUGAAUUGUCAAUUGAUAGAUUAAAGUCCAAUUGCGAGUAUGCGCGAUUGCAGAUUUCAUGAACAACCCUAUAU